rnacentral:rRNA from 1 species
AUUGAACGCUGGCGGCAUGCCUUACACAUGCAAGUCGAACGGCAGCACGGGUGCUUGCACCUGGUGGCGAGUGGCGAACGGGUGAGUAAUACAUCGGAACGUACCUUAUCGUGGGGGAUAACGCAGCGAAAGUUGCGCUAAUACCGCAUACGCCCUGAGAGGGAAAGCGGGGGACCGUAAGGCCUCGCGCGAUUAGAGCGGCCGAUGUCUGAUUAGCUUGUUGGUGAGGUAAAAGCUCACCAAGGCGAUGAUCAGUAGCUGGUCUGAGAGGACGAUCAGCCACACUGGGACUGAGACACGGCCCAGACUCCUACGGGAGGCAGCAGUGGGGAAUUUUGGACAAUGGGGCAACCCUGAUCCAGCAAUGCCGCGUGAGUGAAGAAGGCCUUCGGGUUGUAAAGCUCUUUUGUCAGGGAAGAAACAGCAGCUCUAACACAGUCUGCGAACGACGGUACCUGAAGAAUAAGCACCGGCUAACUACGUGCCAGCCGCCGCCGUAA